rnacentral:rRNA from 1 species
CUGCAAUUGCCGGCGGAAGUGAGGAAGAAGAUUUACAGCUUGCGGCAUGCCUAUCUUUGGGCGGGUUGCGAUAAAGUGAUCGGUGGAAAAUGUAAGGUCAACUGGGAACUCGUCUGCAAGCCCAAGAUCUUCGGUGGUUUGGGCAUCCUCAACCUUGAGAAGUUUGAUACUGCCCUUCGACUGCGAUGGCUUUGGUAUGAGUGGGCUGACCCCGCCAAGACUUGGGCUGGGACGGGAACACCGUGCAAUGAUGAUGAUAGAGACCAGUUUGUGGCAACCACCACGGUUAGUGUUGGAAACGGAUGUAAGGCAAAGUUCUGGGAAUCAUCUUGGCUCAACGGCAUGAGACCCAAAGAUAUUGCCCCAAAGAUAUUUGACCUCUCAGAAUAG